rnacentral:lncRNA from 10 species
GGAAGCUCUACGUCUUGGGGGCCGCAUGGUGCCGAGAGCGCAGACCAGACCCGCCCCGCCUCUCCGUGCCACGCACGCGCUCGGCUCCGCGCUUAAUGAAGCAGUAUCUGACUGUGUUGCCCAGGCUGGUCUUGAACUCCUGGUCUCAAAUGAUUCUCCUGCUUUGGCCUCCUAAAGUGCUGGGAUUACAGCAACGCGAAUGAAAUUUGGUGCCAUCACUCGGAUCAGGGGACCUCCCUUGGGAGAUCAAUCCCCUGUCCUCCUGCUCUUUGCUCCAUGAGAAAGAUCCACCUACGAUCUCUGCUCCUCAGACCAACCAGCCCAAGGAACAUCUCACCAAUUUUAAAUCGGAUCUUCUCAGCUUAGCGGCUGAAGACUGAUGCUGCCAGAUGACUUUGGAAGCCCCCUGGACCAUCACAGAUGCCCAGCUUUGGAUAACUCUUACAGUGGAGGACAGGAAUAUCAGGUCUCUGAGCCCAAGCUAAGCCAUCAUAUCCCCUGUGACCUGCAUGUAUGCAUCCAGAUGGCCUGAAGUAACUGAAGAAUCACAAAAGAAGUGAAAAUGGCGCGUGCCUGCCUUAACUGAUGACAUUACCUUGUGAAAUUCCUUCUCCUGGCUCAUCCUGGCUCAAAAGCUCCCCCACUGAGCACCUUGUGACCCCCACUCCUGCCUAACAGAGAACAAUCCCCUUUGACUGUAAU